UCUCCCAGGUUUAGGACCCCACAACGUCAGUGUUCUACCAGGUUUAGGACCCCACAGCGUCAGUGUUCUACCAGGUUUAGGACCCCACAGUGUCAGUGUUCUCCCAGGCGGGUGUUGGUAGCGUAGUGGAUAGUGCCG